AGUUAGCGAGCAGCUAGGGUGGAGUCGGCCUCAAAGGUUCCGCUCUCAUGUCGGCAAGUGUGAUUUGAAUUUUAAAACACUGAGCUUUGCCGGUGGAAGAGUUCCCAAGUUUAUUCCGACCUACGGAAGCCCAGGAGGACCAGGAUUACCGCUGCCGCUGGAUGCGUCCAGGGCCGGGAUGCGCGACCGUGAGACGCUGCGCUUCCGAAGCCCUCGCAGGCUUCCGGGUGCCAGAGCAGGAGACAUACCCUCUGUCCAGCCUUCCACUCUCAGCCCCCAGUUUUUUUCCUACUUUUGCUUUUCAGGAGUCGUCCAGCAAGACUUGAAAGGAGGAGAAAGGCCUGCUGGACAGGAUGCUAGAGCCUGGCAGUGACCACUUGGGGGCCCUGGGCAUUAAAUAAACUUCUUGGGGCCCGUUUCGUUAUUACACUUGGCUCUAGAUUUGUUGUGCGUUUCAGUGAGAAGUACCUGUAUGUGGUUCAUGUGAGCCUCCUCCUCGCCACUUGUGAAAAAUCCUCCCAGCCUGAACCGAGGGAACUAAAUUGCUUUCCCAGCAAACUGCGGUUUUCCACACUGCUCACGCCCACAAACUGUGUGUUACGAGUUCACAACUUUUUCUUCGUCAAUAAUCCCGCGUAUUACUCUCCCAGCCGUUUCCCAGCGUGUCAUGUGCUGAGAAAUGGUGGGCUUAGCCACGCAAACGUUUACUGAGCAUCUACUAUUUGGUAGGAGCUGUUAGGCACCAUGCUAGCAGUGGAGAUAAAGAUGAGUAAGACAUGGCCUUGCACGUGAGGAGCUCCUUGUCCAAAGAAAACCACAGAGGUAUAUUACAAGAAAACUCUAUUUGUAAAUGUAUGAAAGCAUUUCAUCAAUGCAGCCAACAUUUUCUGAGCAGCUGCAUGUGAUAAAAUGGUGAGGACAGAAGAAUCUAGUAGAGGAAGCAGCUUCAAUACAGUGCCAUAAUAAAAACACUGUACAUGGGGCAUAAUAGAAACACUGUACAUAUAAAGGGCAGUUUAUUCUGCUGCAGUGUGGGAGAGCAGGGAGAGUGGUUUCAGGUGAGUUGAAUACAGGGGUGGAGAGCCAGCUACAUAGGAAGUAAAAUUUGAAUUAGUAGGCACUGUUUAAUAUCUUCGAUGUGUUGGGGUGUUUGUAAAAGGAAUGUAAUAAGAAAUACUCAAGAAAAGAGUGCCAGCCGCGCGCGGUGGCUCACGCCUGUAAUCCCAACACUUUGCGAGGCCGAGGCGGGCGGAUCACAAGGUCAGGCGUUUGAGACCAGCCUGGCCAACAUGGCGAAACCCCGUCUCUACUAAAAAUACAAAAGUUAGCCGGGAAUGGUGGCCGGCACCUGUAAUCCCAGCUACUCUGGAGGCUGAGGCAGGACAAUCACUUGAACCUGGGAGAAGGAGGCUGCAGUGAUCCUGCCACUGCACUCCAGCUUGGGCAACAGAGUGAGAUUCCCUCUCAAAAAUAAAAAUAAAAAAAAUUAAAAAAAAGAGAGAAAUACCAAAUCCCUACUGAUUUAUCAUUUCUUCAGCCUUUCUUCCCCCUUCGGAGCACAGGAUUUAACAGCUGGGUGGAUCAUAUGGCCUUUCUAAACAAUACCUCCUUUAUCCUGUUUUUUUUUUUCUGUUUUUUUUUUCUUUCAAGACUCCUAAAGAACUGGAUUCAUUUAUUCAAAGUCAACUGAAGUCUUUGCCCUCUCUUCUCUCUCGUACGGGGUUAGAAGCCUUGUUAACAGGAAGUGAAUUUGUCCCAUCAAAUACAAUCUUCUGUUGAUUGUCUCCUCGAAAAAGGGUCAGUGCAGGGCCUCCGUGGUAACUGAAUACUCCCAAGAGCAUCGCCGCUAUCCCAGGUUCCCAUACAUGGUAUGUUCAGGUCAGAUCAGGUUUCUCCUUUUGUGGUUUCGGGGCCUUUGAAUUUGGAUCUGAAAU
rnacentral:lncRNA from 1 species